AAUUGUAAAUAACAUAUUAAACAAUGUUUUUUCUUCAUUAGUGCCCUUUCCCACCACAUGUGAUGAUCUUAUUGGUUCUAAUUUUCUUUCUCCCCCUAAAGAAAAUUAACAUAUCUCAAAUCUCCUUCUCUCCCAUUUCAGAAAAUAAAUCUCCCUCUAUCCUCAUUCUCCCAAAUCCAUUCAAGAGGGUAAAGAUUCAAUUUCCUCCCCACCGAUUCUAUCUUCCUUCUUGUAAAUGACAUUAUGUUAUAAGGAGGACAAAUGUUGGACCAAAUGCCUGAAACAACGUCUAGAAACAAAUGUCUGACACGAUGCCUGGGACAUUGUAUACCACAAGGUUGUUUAUAUAAUAAGAUGAAGCUACCACAUUUUAUUGCCAUAGCUGGACUUAUGUGUGCGAUGUUUGCUAAUUGUAUUCCUCAUCUUUCUGCUCCUAGAUAUCGCUUCUUCUUCGAUAUUUUUGUGAACUCAUAACAUUUCCAUUUUGGAAUAAUAUAUAACGAUUAGACAGCCAGUUGUCAAGAACAUGAUGAAAGCCCUAUUCUUUCAGUUUACUAUUGGAGUUGGAGUUCUACCAUUA